UACGUAGGGGGCAAGCGUUGUCCGGAUUUAUUGGGCGUAAAGAGCGUGUAGGCGGCCAAACAGGUCAGCUGUGAAAACUCGAGGCUCAACCUCGAGACGUCGGUUGAAACCGUUUGGCUAGAGUCCGGAAGAGGAGAGUGGAAUUCCCGGUGUAGCGGUGAAAUGCGUAGAUAUCAGGAGGAACACCUAUGGCGAAAGCAGGCUUCUGGACCGUCACUGACGCUGAUCUGCGAAAGCUAGGGGAGCAAACAGA
rnacentral:rRNA from 1 species